rnacentral:rRNA from 1 species
ACUCCUACGGGAGGCAGCAGUGGGGAAUAUUGCACAAUGGGCGCAAGCCUGAUGCAGCCAUGCCGCGUGUGUGAAGAAGGCCUUCGGGUUGUAAAGCACUUUCAGUCGUGAGGAAGGUAGUGUAGUUAAUAGCUGCAUUAUUUGUACGUUAGCGACAGAAGAAGCACCGGCUAACUCCGUGCCAGCAGCCGCGGUAAUACGGAGGGUGUGAGCGUUAAUCGGAAUUACUGGGCGUAAAGCGCAUGCAGGUGGUUUGUUAAGUCAGAUGUGAAAGCCCGGGGCUCAACCUCGGAAUAGCAUUUGAAACUGGCAGACUAGAGUACUGUAGAGGGGGUAGAAUUUCAGGUGUAGCGGUGAAAUGCGUAGAGAUCUGAAGGAUACCGGUGGCGAAGGCGGCCCCUGGACAGAUACUGACACUCAGAUGCGAAAGCGUGGGAGCAAACAGGAUUAGAUACCCCGUGUAGACUGUCA